GGCGAACGGGUGAGUAACACGUGGGCAAUAUGCCCUUCACUCUGGGACAAGCCCUGGAAACGGGGUCUAAUACCGGAUAACACUCUGUCCCGCAUGGGACGGGGUUGAAAGCUCCGGCGGUGAAGGAUGAGCCCGCGGCCUAUCAGCUUGAUGGUGGGCUAAUGGCCUACCAAGGCGACGACGGGUAGCCGGCCUCAGAGGGCGACCGGCCACACUGGGACUGAGACACGCCCCAGACUCCUACGGGAGGCAGCAGUGGGGAAUAUUGCACAAUGGGCGAAAGCCUGAUGCAGCGACGCCGCGUGAGCGAUGACGGCCUUCGGGUUGUAAACCUCUUUCAGCAGGGAAGAAGCGAAAGUGACGGUAACUGCAGAAGAAGCACCGGCUAACUACGUGCCAGCAGCCGCGGUAAUACGUAGGGCGCAAGCGUUGUCCGGAAUUAUUGGGCGUAAAGAGCUCGUAGGCGCCUUGUCACGUCGGAUGUGAAAGCCCGGGGCUUAACCCCGGGUCUGCAUACGAUACGGGCUAGCUAGAGUGUGGUAGGGGAAAUCGGAAUUCCUGGUGUAGCGGUGAAAUGCGCAAAUAUCAGGAGAAAAACCGGUGGCGAAGGCGGAUCU
rnacentral:rRNA from 1 species